AGUAACUUAGUUUAUAAAAACUUUAAAUUGCAAAUUUAAAAUUCUUCUUAAGAAAUCAUUA
rnacentral:tRNA from 1 species